rnacentral:lncRNA from 1 species
UGCCCCCAAAAAAGAGCAUAUAAUUCUAACCUAAUUAAAAAUAAAAGUUUUAAGAAAAUGGAUGGUUUACAUGUUGGAAAAUGUGUCUUAAAGUCAAUCAUCUAAGUUGUAAAUAAUUGAGCUCCUUGUAUGUAUAUGAAUUAUAAAUUGAUAAAAAUUAUUUGGCAAAUUCAUCAUAAGGUGAGCAUCUUCCUUAAUGUACUCCUAUAUUAUGAUGAAGUUCUUAGAACUACCUACUAACAAUAAAGAAGAAUUUAUCAUGUAGUUCUUAAACUAGUUCACGAUCAAAUGAUACGUUAUUACUAGGACGAUAAUAUUUAUUAAGUGUAGGUCGUUGUGUACCAU